UUAACUGUUUAUAAACAAAAAAAUAAGCUUAAAAGUGUCUAUCAUGUGGAUAUGUGGUGUGAAUUUAAAAAACGUUGGAUGACACUUGGGGUGCUUUUUUCAACAGCAAUGGCGGUUUUGGCGCCAAAGUUCGGUGCAAACGGAGGCAAUACUGCAUGAUCAAUUAGUUCUAGGCUCUAGCAUUGCACAUUAGCCAUGUCAUCUGCAUAUGGAGUAUCUAUCAUACAUACCGCUGAGCUGCAUCUACUACAACGCUGGGCGUACAGAAGUCAAGCUAGGGCGGCCGAGAUUACAUCUUAUGACGUCAUUUCACAGCAACAUCGCCAGCGUGGUGCUGUGUGCUGUUGCAGUCAACGCUAUGUCUAGCGCGAUUGACAGACGUGUUAUGGAAGGGGCGAUUCUGACGAGUGUAAGUAGCCCUUGUUUCUGGCUACCGUAUACUUUACAGUCCAGUAGUUUAUUGGCUACCGUGUCUGCUACUAACUACUUGGUUUCGCUGCUGUUCGUGCCAGUAACGCAUCUACUACUGUGUGGUAAGAUUCCACUGCCUAACUACGAGGAGUUGAAAGCUGUUGCUAUGACCGCCUUUCUUCCGUACCUGAUGGGGAGUCUGUCAUGUAAAGAAGAAACAGUGCCGCUGUCAAGCAAGGUAUCAUCUUUAGUGCUGCUUUACAACGAAUGCUGCACGCUGUUUACAGAAGCUGAGGGCAUCUUGUACGUUGCUGAUGUGUGUUCCACUCUCGUUCUAGUAUCAAUAUGGCUCAUCACGGUAGCAGUAUCCAGCUACUUAUACGUACGCUGCGGAGUGUUGAGUAACAAAGAAGCGAAGGUACUACUCCUGGUGUCAACUCCGAAGUCCACACAAGUCGGUUGGAUAAUGUCCACUUGCCCAGUGGUGGGCUUGUACAGACUGCCCGCAGUGUUUAUAGCGCCGACACAGGCUUUGCUAUUAUCUGUAAUUUAUACCGAUCCUGACUUUGCUGAUGUAACCAUCUAGCAUUAAAAAUAAACAUUCGUAUCUUUAUAUAGUAAGGAAGAGAGGGUAAUUGAAGAAAGUAUCUACUAGAAGUGACAUAGCCGCGUUAAACAUGUCGCCUCACAGGUGACUCAUAGACCACCAUCGGGUAAUAGUGGUUUAGUACUGAUCAGAAUGACGGACGUGAAACAAAGCGUAAAUAUCUCACGGAAAGUGUUCCGAAGAGCUGUUUCACCUGAUUCCUGCUACCGAAUUCCACCUUCUCACGAUACGCUACAAAGUAGGAUAUCAUCCCCACCAUAUGGAUGUGUGGAGUCCACAGAUCAGUUUUCAAGGAAAUUUCUUCCACGUACAAAUCAUGCUGUGGAAAGAGCUUCUUUUAGUGGUGUUUCCAGAAUGUAAAAAUUAAUAGCGCGUACACCUUUCUAAGAGCCUCGCUCUUGUGAUUCCUCUGGUGUUGCAAGAGAAUGUGAGCGGCGGUGAUCACUUAACACCAGGUGACCCGUACGCUCGCUAGUCAUCCUCUUCUAUUACGUUAGUACAAAUUAGUAAAUAUAUAUUAUUAUUGAAUAAAUUAGUAAAUUAAGCUCAUAAUUGCUCACAGCUGAAGGAGAACCCUCUUGAAAAUAUUAUACCAUGAAUGUCUGUAGAUCUAAUAAAGAAGUUAUUUUGCUAGAUUUUAUGGUGCUUGUCUGCAGUCCUUUAAUAACACCUAACCUAUAACUUUAGGGAGUUGGGGAUGGCUGAAAACCAGGGCAUCUGGGAAUGACUUUGGUCUAUGAGCUUUCAGAUAAGCACAAAAAUUUAGGUAAAAGUUUGACGGUUUUUGAAUUAUUGAGCUUAUUUGAAAUAUGGAAAAAGUCCGCUGUAGCGGACCCGCGGUAUCACUGGUAACCAUACAUGGUUGCUAUUUAUUACUCUAAAAUCGGUCAAAUGUGUAAGUAAGUAAUGUGUAAGCAUUACUGUGUUUCGGUCUGAAGGACGCGUAUCUAGUGAAAUUAAUGGGCAAAUGAGACUUAACAUCUUAUGUCUCAAGGUGACGACCGCAGUUGUAGUGCCGCUCAGAAAAUUUGGGUUUUACAAGAAUCCUGAGCGGCACUGAAUUGUAAUGGGAAUAAAUUGUAAUGGCAUAUUAAUUACCAUCAGAUGAACGUCCUGAUCGUCUCGUCCCUUAUUUGUAUGUAGUUAAGCAGAAAGGACUCAAACCACACAAAGGCAUUUUUGAGUUAUAGGUAUUUAAGUUUCAGCUCUUAAUAAUCUUCCAUAUAAGUAUCCUAUAUAAAUAUCAAAAAACAAACAGUUUCCAUUUUAAAAUAGGGUUUUCUCUACAUGACAGAUUCGAUCUUGAGGAGUACGAUGGCAUACUUGACUAGUGUGGUUUAAGUCAUUCUGCUUAACUACAUCCAUUUAUGUUAUGUUAAUAAUAACAUAAAAAAAACACUCUGGUGUCUGAUAACUCAUUCUUUUGUAAUACAUGUUUUAUAGAAUUUAUAGUACUUUAUUCUUUAAUUUUCCAUUUGCAUAUUUUGUUUUGUUCUUCUGAAGCUCAUAGACCAAAGUCAUUCCCAUAUUUUGCCUUUGUCCCACUUAUUUUGGGACACACAGUAUGAAAAAUAUGGAUCUUUGUUAUCUGUAAAUAAAUUA